GCGCAUGCGCAGCUCGCAGCCACGUCCCGGAAGCCGGGGAGGCGACGCACGUGAGUCAUCAGAGAGCGCCGGAAGCGUUGCGCCCCGCGCCGGAAGCGAUGGAGAUUUUAACAGGGGACCCCAUUGCCACGUGCCUUUCUCCUUUAGUGCAUGACCUGAUUUGUAACGUUGGAUUUGAACUCAGAGAAGUUUGUGAUAUCAAUAGCAUUGUAACUCAAAAUGGUCAAGUAUGCUGGGAAGCAAUUACGGACCGCGUGAGCUAUACAGAAUCAGGCCAGAGCCUGGAUUACAGGAGAAGCGUGCAGCUCUUGGGUCCUGUGUGUGAGGCCGUCCAUCUACAUGUCUUAUCCCUGACCAGGGCACAGUUUGAAAUUCAGUAUUCACCAUGGUUCCAGUGGACAGCUUAUCCCGAGGUUUGACAUUUGCCUAUCUUUAGAAAUGCAAUUAGACUUUGCAAAUUGGAAAGAAGUCUUCAUUCCUCCUCAGA